GAUGAACGCUGACAGAAUGCUUAACACAUGCAAGUCUUUGGCGAAGCUGUGCUUGCACAGCCUAGCCAAGGCGGACGGGUGAGUAACGCGUAAGGAACUUGCCCUGCAGUCAGGGAUAACAGACGGAAACGACUGAUAAGACCUGGUAAAGUCAGGCGGACUCAUGUCCAGCCUGAUGAAAAGAGAUGCUGCAGGAGAGCCUUGCGUCCUAUUAGCUUGUUGGUGGGGUAACGGCCCACCAAGGCGAUGAUAGGUAGCCGGCCUGAGAGGGUGGACGGCCACAAGGGGACUGAGAUACGGCCCUUACUCCUACGGGAGGCAGCAGUGGGGAAUAUUGGACAAUGGGGGCAACCCUGAUCCAGCAAUUCUGUGUGCACGAUGAAGGUUUUCGGAUUGCAAAGUGCUUUCAGCAGGGAAGAAAAAAUGACGGUACCUGCAGAAGAAGCGACGGCUAAAUACGUG
rnacentral:rRNA from 1 species